rnacentral:rRNA from 1 species
GACGAACGCUGGCGGCGUGCUUAACACAUGCAAGUCGAACGAUGAAGCCGGAGCUUGCUCUGGUGAAUUAGUGGCGAACGGGUGAGUAACACGUGAGUAACCUGCCCUUGACUCUGGGAUAACUGCUAGAAAUGGUAGCUAAUACCGGAUACGACCCUCGGCGGCAUCGCCAGGGGGUGGAAAGAAUUUCGGUCAGGGAUGGACUCGCGGCCUAUCAGCUAGUUGGUGGGGUAACGGCUCACCAAGGCGACGACGGGUAGCCGGCCGGAGAGGGUGACCGGCCACACUGGGACUGAGAGACGGCCCAGACUCCUACGGGAGGCAGCAGUGGGGAAUAUUGCACAAUGGGCGCAAGCCUGAUGCAGCAACGCCGCGUGAGGGAUGACGGCCUUCGGGUUGUAAACCUCUUUUAGUAGGGAAGAAGCGAAAGUGACGGUACCUGCAGAAAAAGCACCGGCUAACUACGUGCCAGCAGCCGCCGUAA